rnacentral:rRNA from 1 species
AACGAACGCUGGCGGCAUGCCUAACACAUGCAAGUCGAACGAGACCUUCGGGUCUAGUGGCGCACGGGUGCGUAACGCGUGGGAACCUGCCCUUAGGUUCGGAAUAACUCCCCGAAAGGGGUGCUAAUACCGGAUAAUGUCUUCGGACCAAAGAUUUAUCGCCUUUGGAUGGGCCCGCGUUGGAUUAGCUAGUUGGUAGGGUAAAAGCCUACCAAGGCGACGAUCCAUAGCUGGUCUGAGAGGAUGAUCAGCCACACUGGGACCGCGACACGGCCCAGACUCCUACGGGAGGCAGCAGUGGGGAAUAUUGGACAAUGGGCGAAAGCCUGAUCCAGCAAUGCCGCGUGAGUGAUGAAGGCCUUAGGGUUGUAAAGCUCUUUUACCCGGGAUGAUAAUGACAGUACCGGGAGAAUAAGCUCCGGCUAACUACGUG